UACGAAGGGUGCUAGCGUUGUUCGGAAUCACUGGGCGUAAAGCGCGCGUAGGCGGCGAUACAAGUCAGAGGUGAAAGCCUGGAGCUCAACUCCAGAAUUGCCUUUGAAACUGCAUUGCUAGAGUGUCGGAGGGGAUAGCGGAAUUGCUAAUGUAGAGGUGAAAUUCGUAGAUAUUAGCAGGAACACCGGUGGCGAAGGCGGCUAUCUGGACGACAACUGACGCUGAGGCGCGAAAGCGUGGGGAUCAAACAGGG
rnacentral:rRNA from 1 species